rnacentral:misc_RNA from 1 species
UUCUCAAAAUGUUGGCAGGACCAAAAUACUUUAUAAACUGUUCAUAAAGCAAUGUAAACUUUCACAUUGCCAUCACAUGCAAGGUAUUUUGGUCCUGCCAACAUUUUGAGAAUGAAUAUUCCCCACUAAAAGGAUCAACAAUGUAAGCAAAAGAUGAUGUUGAUCUAACAGAGCUUAUACAAGUGUUUGCAAUAAAUCUUGGAAAGCUCUGCUCUUCAAUUUAACUUCUACAUUUCCCCACAUUCAGCAAUAAUACAUGCCAAUUUAGGCCGGUUGUUGGGUCCAGUAGCCACAUUCUCAAUCUUCCGGACGACCAGAAGACCAUCCCCAAGCACCCUCCCAAACACAACAUGCUUAUUGUCGAGCCAGUCACAUUUUGCACAAGUGAUAAAGAACUGACAGCCAUUUGUGUUUGGUCCACUAUUUGCCAUUGACAGUAGACCAGGACCAGUAUGUUUGGCAACAAAAUUUUCAUCCUCAAACUUGUGUCCGUAUAUCGAAACACAUCCACUACCAUCACCCUUGAGAAAAUCACCGGCUUGAAUCAUGAAAUCCUUAAUCACCCUAUGGAACUGGCACCCUUUAUAACCUACAGGCAAUCCUGCUUUUCUGUACUCGCCGGUGCAAAACUGCCUGAAAUUUUCGGCGCUUUUGGGGGCAAUAUCAGCGAAGAGUUCCAUCUUGAUGCGACCAGCAGGGAUGGUGCCGAUGGUAAUAUCGAAGAAAACAAUUGGGUUUUUAGGGUUUGGAGGCCUCACAUGCCACUCCACGUUCCCUGUACCAAUAGCUGCGUUGCCUCCCGAAGCCAUGAGAAUCAGAGUCACAGAGUAUCUGCUUACCUUUUGCCUAGCUUC